rnacentral:rRNA from 1 species
CAGAGCCGCGAACGGGUGAGUAACACGUGGGUCACCUACCUCGAUGACCGGGACAACCCGUCGAAAGACGGGCUAAUACCGGAUGUGCACUUCGGUGGAAAGGUAGCUUCGGCUUCCGCAUCGAGAUGGGCCCGCGGCGCAUUAGCUUGUUGGUGGGGUAACGGCCUACCAAGGCGACGAUGCGUAGCUGGUCUGAGAGGACGAUCAGCCACACUGGGACUGAGACACGGCCCAGACUCCUACGGGAGGCAGCAGUGGGGAAUCUUGCGCAAUGCGCGAAAGCGUGACGCAGCAACGCCGCGUGGGGGAAGAAGGCCUUCGGGUUGUAAACCUCUUUCAGUUGGGACGAAGCUUCUGCGGUGAAUAGCCGUAUGGAGUGACGGUACCUUCACAAGAAGCCCCGGCUAACUACGUGCCAGCAGCCGCGGUAAUACGUAGGGGGCAAGCGUUGUCCGGAAUCAUUGGGCGUAAAGCGCGUGUAGGCGGCUCGAUAAGUCCGUUCUGAAAGUCCAGGGCUCAACCCUGGGAUGCGGAUGGAUACUGUCGAGCUCGAGUCCGGAAGAGGCGAGUGGAAUUCCUGGUGUAGCGGUGAAAUGCGCAGAUAUCAGGAGGAACACCAAUGGCGAAGGCAGCUCGCUGGGACGUGACUGACGCUGAGACGCGAAAGCGUGGGGAGA